ensembl:lncRNA
AGUACAGAAAGAUGGCGAAUAGAAGUAGGACUGAGUCGUAUGUGUGGACAGACCAUGAGGUGGAAUUAUUCCUCAACUUAAUACUGGAAUAUAAAACGGCAAAAACACAAGAAAACGUGGACUGGGAGACUUGUCAGGGGAAAUACGCUGACAUUCACGCUCUUUUUUUAGAGCAGUACCCCUCUGAAAAGUCACAAGAAUUUCCUCAUCGCAAGGAAGAUAUAACCAGGGCCAUCAUCACCACCAAGCUGAAGGCAAUAAGGGGGAAGUAUAGGCAAGCGGUAGUCUCCGGUCAAAAAAGUGGUCAUGGUAGAGUGGUCCUACUAUACUUUGAGCUGUGUGAACAGAUAUGGGGUGGCUCGCCAGCGACUACUGCCAUUCCGUCAGGUAUAGAAACAGCAGAUGUUGACACAGCUUCUCACCGUUCGGAAUCUGCAUCUACUUUGUCUGCACCUGACAUCUCGACUGUGGAACUGUCAGAUGUGUCUGAUCAAGCACAGUCUGAGGACAGCGAUUUGCCCACUUCUGUGGUAAAGGAACGAAGAGAUCUGCUUAAUACAAAACUCAAAGGCCACAGACAGGACAGACUUAAAAGAAGACUUUCAACUGAGACACAGCUGCUGAAUGUUGCCGAGGUGGACAUACAGAUGAAGAAAAGAAUUCUGGAUAUGAUGGAGACAUCUGAGAGGCGAGCUUCUGAACAUUACAGUACAUUAUCAGUCACUCUUGAGAGACUUACAAGUUCAAUUGCAGAUGGAUUUUCACUGCUAAGACAAGCCAUGGAUCCACCACCACCACUACCUUUCAACAUGCCACCAUACCAUGGUGGGCACAUCUAUCCAUGUGCACCACCACCACACACUGUAUCUGGCACAUUUCCACCCAACACUACCAUAACUGAGCAGCCAAGCACUGCACCUAGCCCGCUGUUACCUUUGCAGGGAACAGGGGAGUUUUCCUUCACACGAGCACUUAUGGAGGAUGAUAUUUGAAAUAAUCUGCAUCAUUACUUUUGCUGGGCAGUAAAUGACUAACGUGGGAGGCUGUUUGGGCUGCAUCUGUACAUUUUAUUUAUCGUUUUAAUUUAUUUUCAUUAUGCUUUAUGUUAAAACAUUGAAAAUAUGUUUAUUUUUAAUUUUUUUUGCAUUUUAAGAAUGCUCAACUGUUGACAUGUUACAUGUUUUCCAUUAGCUGUUCUGCAGCUCCAAUGUUUUAUGUUUCAAACAGCUGUUAAAUGUAAGAGGUCUUCCUUGUGUUCUCAAAAAACCUUUUAUCUUACUCCUGAGAAGUUUGUGGGUUUGUUUUUUGAAAGGCAGCUUCUUUUGUGUAAGUUUUCCAGUGUCUUCUUGAUUAAAAAUGUUAAUAACUUAAGACUGUAUUAUG